UACCACUAAUGGAACGUUAAUCCGGAUUGGUUCUGCUAUCCAAGUCAUAUUGAGCAAACUGGAAUGCUCGUUACUUAUACUGACCAAGCCGGUCGUCAAGUCACAGCGUGGAUGCGAAGGAUCGUGGUCUACGUAGUCCGCACCAGUUGCUUUUGGUGGAUGUUUGGAUGAACUCACCAUGACGGACAUUGAUUUGUCCCAAACGGUGGGACCGGUCCCCGAGUCAGUUGAGUUUCCCUGGAAGUCUGAUCAGCUCUACUGGAGUAAAUUUGAGACACCGAACUCGUUAUUGUGAUGAAUUAUGCAACGGCACAUUUGUUCACUGUAAUUUUGUUAGCACUUGAUACAUCAUCUCGAAUGGCAUGAAGCUUGCAUUACAUGCACAGUUUCAACACAAUCGGUCAAGGGGUGCUUCUGUCGGAUAUGGGCUUUGCGAAUCGCUCUUCGCUGCCAGCAGUCAAUUUCAUUCUCAUAUGACCAAGCCAGGAAGCUGUAGUGAUCGGACCUGCUGGAGGAAGUUAUCUACUUCUUGAACACCCUGCGUUUGAACAGCAUAAACAACAGCAACUGUACAUUUCUCAAACACUGCUGCUAUCUAUGUAAUGGAGGAGUCCCGCAGGAAACAACAGCAGCAGGGAAAUGGUCAGUUUGAGGCAUCUGUCAGUAUGUUGGGUUUGCAGCUUAAUUUGAAAGACACAUGGGUUCGUCGAUAUGGAUACAUAUCAUUAUGUUAGGUAAUGUUAACAAUAUUUUACAUUGAAAA